GAGGGUAUAGCUCAGUGGUAGAGCUCAUGCUUAGCAUGGACAAGGUCCUGGGUUCAAUCCCCAGUACCUCCA
rfam:Camelus ferus unplaced genomic scaffold scaffold1327, whole genome shotgun sequence.